GCCAGGACCAUUCACCUUCACUAGAAGUCAGCUGGGAGUGUUUUCACUUGGAGGAACUUCUGAUGAGAGAUUUACAAGGAAGAAGGCAAGAAAGGCCCUCUUGCCCACUGCUGGGAAGAACAGAGAUUCCAAAGACAUCCAUAUCCAACAAUCUGAUGGAACAGCUUUCCUGAUCAACUUUUCUACAGAACCAGAUUUUCGAGUGUGUUGAGGGCCACAGCCGAGUUGGGAUGAUGCAUGGCAUUUUUGCCAGAAGUAGUGGUUGAGAAGUGACGCCAGCGAGCCGUUAAGAUGAUGACUUUUGAGUUCUCGCGGAGUUCCCGUUGAGCUCUCGCAGGAUUCCUGAAGAGUUCGAGUUGGUUGGUGAAGUUCCGGUGGAGGGAGUUCCGGUUGGUGUGUGGUGUUCCUGGAGGAGCCGCGUGGGUGGCGUUCGGGAGAGUUCCCGGGGAGUGUGCUGGUGG
rnacentral:lncRNA from 1 species